CCCACAGGCUCAAGAAGACGUACAGAGCCAUGCAGGCGUGCCACAGUGGUCCAGGAAGACAAUGGAUAGAGGCUGAUAUGAACGGCAUUGCACCUGCAGUCAAUCAAUUUAAUUAAACUCUCCAAUGGGAUAGCUGAUCAAUUAGUAAAGAGGUUCAUGAACAAAUGAUAUAAAAACGAUCCGAGCCAGGGGCUGGCGGCUCCGAUGAGAUGACACCACGAUAGAAAUCCAUAAAAGGCACCUUCGUCGCUCCACGGCAGACAAUAAGGGACCGUUAUCAGGAUGCAGAGAAUGGCGAAACCUUGAACGGAGUUUCAAAAGAGAUUUUUUUUUCCCUCUCUGUGGAGGGGAAUUGAGGGGAUAGCGCAUGUGCUGGGGAGAGGAGGUGCAGUGCACGAGGGGUGAACUUGCAGUGGCGAUUGGGAUGUGGGUGGAAGAUGAUUGGGAGUAUCACGAGGAUAUUGGGAAGAGUCAGGCAACAGUUUAAUUAUUCAACUGUCAGCAAGGUAUGGAAUAAGAUUAUUUUCGGUGGAUUUGUUUGCUCAAUGCCGAGGAUUU